rnacentral:rRNA from 1 species
UACGGAGGGAGCAAGCGUUACUCGGAAUUAUUGGGCGUAAAGGGCGCGUAGGCGAUUUGAAAAGUCUUGUGUGAAAGCCCCGAGCUUAACUCGGGAAGUGCACAAGAAACUGUUGAAUUUGAGUUCCGGAGAGGAAGGCAGAAUUCCCGGUGUAGCGGUGAAAUGCGUAGAUAUCGAGAGGAACACCAGUGGCGAAGGCGAGUCUCUGGACGACCCCUGACACUGAGGCACGAAAGCUAGGGGAGCAAACAGG